CAGGAGGUUGCAGUUCUAAGCCGUUUACGACACCCUAAUAUAGUGCAGUAUUAUGCUCUGAAACCGUAGAUGACAAGCUGUAUAUAUAUCUGGAGUAUGUCUCUGGUGGUUCGAUCUAUAAGCUUCUUCAAGAGUAUGGAGAAUUUGGUGAGAAUGCAAUCCGUAAUUACACACAACUAAUUUAUCAGGGCUCGCUUAUUUGCACGCCAAAAACACUGUUCAUAGAUUACUGCUCAAUCUGGUCCUUUUACAUUCAAGGGAAGC